GUCCCAGGAUGGAGCUGGAUUCGAGCCUGCUGUGUAGACAGCCAUUAGGUCCCGGGAUGCAGCUACAUCUGAGCCUGCUGCAUAGAUGGCCAUUAGGUCCUGGGACAGAGCUGCAUUGGACCCUGCUGUGUAGACAGCCAUUAGGUCCCAGGAUGUAGCUGCAUCCGAGUCUGCUGCAUAGAUGGCCAUUAGGUCCCAGUCCCAGGAUGGAGCUGGAUUCGAGCCUGCUGUGUAGACGGCCAUUAGGUCCCAGUCCCAGGAUGGAGCUGGAGUCGAGCCUGCUGUGUAGACGGCCAUUAGGUCCCAGUCCCAGGAUGGAGCUGGAUUCGAGCCUGCUAUGUAGAUGGCUAUUAGGUCCCGGGAUGCAGCUACAUCUGAGCCUGCUGCAUAGACGGCCAUUAAGUCCUGGGACGGAGCUGCAUUGGACCCUGCUGUGUAGACAGCUAUUAGGUCCCGGGAUGCAGCUACAUCUGAGCCUGCUGCAUGGACGGCCAUUAGGUCCUGGGAUGGAGCUGCAUUGGACCCUGCUGUGUAGACAGCCAUUAGGUCCCGGGAUGCAGCUGCAUCUGAGUCUGCUGCAUAGAUGGCCAUUAGAUCCUGGGACGGAGCUGCAUUGGACCCUGCUGUG
rnacentral:lncRNA from 1 species